rnacentral:lncRNA from 1 species
GCUCUGCAGGGCGCAGCUUUAUACGACCGCAGAGGUCGAACCCUGAACAGUUGGGGCAAGUAUGGACAAAACAUUCAAGCGCGAUACAGCUCUGAAUUUGGAUUGUGAUCAGCUUUUUGACAAUACAUGGGUUUUUUUUACACAAAACAAAUGUCAAGAUUUUACAAAUCAAUUAAAGAUUUCUUCUUCAAACUUUUUAAAUCUAAAAUUAAAUAGUUGACACAGCAUAGGUUUCUGACACAGAAUGAAUGUGGUCUAAUGAACUUAAAAGUUUUUUUUUGCCUUUGAGCAAUUCACUAUGCUGUUGAAUAUUAAUCCUCUCAAAAAAAUGUUUGAAGAAAUUUUCUUUUUAUUUAUGAAAUCUGAAAUGAGAAAAAUUUAAACCCCCCCCUUUUUUUUCACAUCCCCGUUUCCCUUUUUCCAAAACUGAUAUCAAUUCAAAUUUCUAAUGGAGUUUGCAACAAUAACUACUCUUUUAAAUACAUCAUAAAAUAUUAAAAUGUAAAAUAAAGUGCUUGUUAUCACUGAAUAGUAAAGAUUGGUUGGUAGUAAAAGUGAAUAUACAUUGUUUAUUGUAUAAAACAAUAAAAAAAACUUCAUCAACAACAUUUUAUAUUGGCAAAUUUCCAAUGAAGUUAUUUACAUAAAGUUAUUGGCAAAUAAAAAUAGAAAAUGACAUCAUAGUCAUGUCUGGCAAAUGUCCAACAUACACUAUCUAAAAA